AGUCCCAUUCUGCAAACGGUGCUGCACCAGUUGAGUAGCCCUCGACUUACGACCGGUUGAGUAGUCCUCAACUUAUGACCGGUUGGGGGUCGCAGCAUUAAAAAGGUUGAGAACCACUGCUCUAUGGACCUCUUUGCUGGUUUUUAUUGUGGGAAAUUGUAAAAAAUAAUGGUUGCAAAUCAGAAUCAUAUGACCACAGGAUGCUGCAACCAGUCAUAAUUCAACAGCAAUAGCACUUAAUAGUGCUUUACAGCCCUCUCUAAGCAGUUUACAUAAUCAGCAUAUUGCCUCCAACAAUCUGGGUCUUCAUUUUACUGACUUCAGAAGGAUAGAAGACUGAACCCACCUUGUGCCAGUGAGGAUAGAACUCCUAGCAGUGAGCAGAAUUAACCUGCGAUAUUGCAUUCUAACCACUCUGCCACCACAGCUCUAAAUCAAUUGCAAUUAAGCUGCUGCCAAGCAUAUAAAUUGCAAUCACAAGACCAUGGUGAUGAUAUGAUGGUCAUAAGUAUGAGUACAAGUCAUAAGUCGCUUUUUCCAAAGCUGUUGUAACUUUGAACUGUCAUUAAACAAAAGGUCAUAAGUUGAGAACUACCUGUACCAUUGCUUACUGUGGUUCUUAUAAGCAAAGAAAAAAUAUUACAAAAUGCAUCAAGACUGUUUCCCAAAAAAUAUGCCUUGUGCACUACAGCAGUUUUCUACCAAUACUGCCCAAAUUUGAUAGCUAUCCUCCAGGAUGUAGCAAAUAGUUCUGACUAACUUGGAAACUUUUUAAGGAAAGAUCUAUGGAUAAAGUGGCAAUACAAAACAUCCAUCUUGUUCACCCUUGCAAUAGUUAAAAUUAACAGGAGAGUAGUUGAGAACAUUUGUAAAUCUCAUUUCUAUUUUGGGGCCGUAUUUCAGAGAACCUUGGCCCUUUGAAAAGCUUCCAAGAUUUUACAAAUUAAAAAUAUCAAUUAAUUUGAGAUUUGGUUCUAAUUUGCAGAUUGUAAAUGUUAUUUUAAAUACUAUUUCUUUGGUUCCAGGUUCCAAGUAACUUCCUUUUUGCUUCCUUUUUCAGUAAUAUCUUGAAUCAGUUGCCCAAACGGGCUAUGGAGUCUGAAGACAUUUGAUAGCUGCCAUCACAUCACUUCUGCUGUAAAAUAAGAUUUGCUAUUCUUUAAUCCCAUAAAAAACAGAUGUGGUAAGCAAUGGAAUGGGCGCAGUUUCCUGGUGACGCGUCCAGCCCGUGGGCCGGCAGUUUGACACCCCUGAUUUAAGGUAAUUCUUCCAGAUUCCACCCAUACUUUUACCACUUGUUUUUAAAGUAGAAUUCUUCCAUAGAAUUAAAUAUACAUGAGCCUCAAUGUCAAAAUGCAAUCUAUACUUCUUGACUUUUUGAUGAGGAUCAAAUGGAGUAUCUGCUGUUUAGUUCUCAGUUCUCAGUUUACUAUUGCCUAGUUUCUAUUUUAUUUUAGAAUGUGAAUGUUUCUAGACCAUAGAAGCUUUGGGUUUCAUAUAUGAAAAAUGGCACAUGUUAUCUCUCACUAGUGCAUCAUAUUUUUAUCAUAAGCUUUAAAAAAGAAAUGGGAUGCAUUUUAAACAAACAGGCAUGUGAUAAACUAAAUAGAAGCUAAAUUGGUUUUGAAAGAACCCAGCUUGAAACAGAUAACUAUUUGAUGUACAGAAAAUGAUUGCUAGGUAUAACUGUCAAUAGCUGUGAAUAUAAUGAGUUAUGAAUAUCUCUAUGGAAGAGGAGGAUGAGGGGGCAGAAGCAGAGGACUCCUCAACAGAACAAAAUGAAUAGGAACACAGAAAAGAGUUGUGCCAAGUUUCCACAGUUCUAUUUAACUGUGUAGUUUACCCUUUUUAUUUGUGAGAAUAAUUCUGGAGAAUAGUAAAAAUGAAGUUUUCUAGGGAACUAAGAAUUUCAUGAUCUGAGUCUGUGCAGGCCUUGUAACACAGUCCUAUUCUGAAAUAAAUUCCAUUUUGUUUAAUGGAUUUUAUGUGGGAGCGUGUAUUGAACUGCCUUAACAAUUCUUACAACAUGUAAUAAAUUAGAUAUAUUUUAUUGAAGCUAUGCUGUUGUUAUGUUAUAUAAGGUGAGACAUUAACUCGGGGCCAAAAAAGAGGAAUAAGGAGUGUGCAAAACAGCCCAGUGAUUGGCAUACAGAAUGAAACUUCUAGAUUGCUUCAGAAUCUUAUAAAUACCAGAUCUCUGGAGUUAUUUCUUCAAUUGCACUAAUCUGUUACAUAGACAAACUUCAGGCGUGGUUCAGCAGCAGUUUCUCUAGGUUACUUCUGUAUAGUUUAUUGCUAUAAUCUGAUGAAGAAGUACUUCUUCAAUUUAAGACUUUGUUUUCAUUAUGGAGCCUUUGUAUAUUAUGUAGAUUCUCACAAAGAUGGUGCCAGCAGCCCUUACAUGAGCAAUACGAAGGCAUAGAGCUCUCAGAAGAGAUAAACUCCUCCCACCUUUGAAAGGACAGGAGAAAGAAAGGAGCUAACUAUUUUGAAUUGCCUAAAUGUAAAAUUCAGAUAUGAAACCAGAAAUACUUGUUGGGAUUCUUGUGUGACCAUACUAAAAUUUUGCUUAAUGAAUCUUAUUAAUCUGAAUUUAGAUAGAUUUGUUCCUGAAAUAUUAUUGUUUACUGAUUAUUGGUAGAAGGCUCUGAUAGCAAUAAAGGAAAAAGAUAUUCUAUGUAAAUUUUUUUGCUGAUUUUUUUUUCUAUUGAGUCUAGCUGCCCCCCCCCCAAAAAAAACCUAAAAUUAGGGAUGCAGUAGAACUUCCUGCAUUGCUGAUCCUAGGGUAGCAAGAUUUCAAAAAUCUCUUUUAGCUGCAUAUUGUUUAAAUACCAGAUUUGGUGCUUAUUUUUAUUUAAUCAAUUUAUUUUACCAUAAUUCAUAUUUUUACUAUUACAAUAGUCAAAAAUCUAAAUUUUCCUAUUUUUAUUGCUUCAGUGUUUGUGAAACAAUUUACUGAAAAUACACCAGUAAAUGACUGCAUCAUUCAUUUUCUUUGCUUACUUUGCUACAAUGUGUACUGUGGCUUAAUUUCAUAGAGGUACAAAUGAAUGUAUCAGAUACUUAAUUCAACACAGCUUUCAUUCUAAUAUACAUAUUAGAAGCAUAAAAUUAAUUUUCAACUCAAGUGAGUUAGAGAUUACCUUUUAUAUUGUUAAUAUCCUAUAUUAAUUUCAAAGCAAAUUACAAAUUGUUUCCCUGAUACACUAGAAAAUACCCAAUACAGUUGACAUUCAGUUUAUGCCUUGGUUUGGCAGAUAUGUAUUCUUAAAAUAAAUGUUAAAAUUUCUUAUCCCAGUCUUAAUUUGAAGCAAAUUUGGGCAGCCUCUUCUGCUGUUCUGGUAGAAGAGAACAAUAAUUUCAGGUAAACGUAAUCAGUAUUUGAAACAUUUAUUUUAUUUAUUUAUUAAAUUUAUAUGCUAUCCAAAGUGAUUUGUGACAGCUAAUAAUAUUUUAUUAGUAAUUAUUUGAUCAGUUAUCUGUUCUUAUUUUGCAAAGAACUGCAAAUAAUUCUUUACACUGUGAAUAACUAUUGAGUCAAAGAUUACAUUCAGUAAUCUAAAAUUAUUUGGGUUUGCUGCAGUCUUGAUUCUGCAUGGAUGGUCUUUGGUGGACACUUGUUUUCUGGGACCAUAGUAAGAUACAUAUUUGGAAUUGUCUUUUCUGCCCAUUAUAGAAAUUAACCAAUACUUAUUUGCAUACUCAAGAGUUUAUAGUUCUUGGUGAAGCUAGUCUAGAAUUGUUAAAUUGGGUCCCCACUCUAUUCCUUCUUCUGAAUCUCAGAUUGGCUGCUUCAGGGAAGUGCAGAACCAAUAUAGAAGCUGAAAUGAAGUCAAAUAGUUUAUGCAUGAACAGUGCCUCCAUUGUUUUGAGAUUGUUCAAUCAUCCAACUCCUCUGCAUCUCCAGUAAAGCUUGCAAGGAAAUGUACUGAGUUAUUGUACUGAUCAAUACUUUAAAUUAAUGGAUAACCUCUCCCAAUGAUUUUAUCUUGAGUUUAAAUAAAAUGGGAUUGCUGAGUCCUGUGGUAUCCCAAAUUGCAUCAGUCAUGGGUUCACCUUUUCAUAACUUUACAACUUUCAUCCUGAACUGCUCACUCAGAAAGGAAAGGAGCCAUCAUGUUUGCCACUCCGAAUCUUUACGACAGUCCAUUGUAGAUGUCUGAAUGCAACUGUGUUGUCUAAUAAGACCAGGAAGGGUGAACCCCCUCCAUCCAGCUCCUCCUAGCUUCUCUCUUCCAGGUUUCUCCCCUAAGUUUCCAGCCAUUGCCCUGACUAAAUCCUAGAUUCAAAAAAUCCAAGGUUCUCUGCAGUUGACAUCCUUCAAGUUUCCCCGAAACAUCCCUAAAAAGGACAGAUUAGACACUGGGCAGAAAUUGCCUAAUAAAUGCCCUCUUCAGGAAUAAGUACAUCUUCAAGGCAGCUGCUACUACCACCUCUAUCUAGAUACCUGUCAGAAUCCACCCACGCUGCCUAAAAGAGCUAUGUAAGGCAGAGAUCCAACCAAUGAGUGGAAAAGUUGGGUUUUGUUUUAUAACUUCUUGUAUGCUUUGGUUAGCUUUUUAUUAGGGAUGGUCUAGAGCAGGGGUCCCCAACCGCCAGGCCAUGGCCCACUACUGGGCCAAGGCCUAUUUGGAACCAGGCUGCAUGAAUGGCAGGCCAACACACAUGCAGGCAGCUUGAUGCUGGCCUAUUGCUCAUGCAACCUGGUUUCCCUCUCCCCCCCCCAAAUCCGGGUCGCCAAGCCGCAAAGAUUGGGGACCACUGGUCUAGAGUGUGUUAUUGUCGUGAUAGCUAUUAGUAUCAGUUGCUUUGCUGAUAAUUACAUGUUUUCAAUUGAUUAGAAGCUGAUAUGUGUUUUUCCAUUCUAUGCAUUAUAUGGGAAGAAGUAAUUCAUUUCACUAUCAUUUAUUUUCAGAUCUUUUUCCACACAAUCUAUUGUAACAAUAUAUUGGUUCCCUUUGAGCUUGAAAGUGCUGUUGGUUAUUAAUAGGCAAAUAAACAUUCAUAAUGUGAUCACAGAUAAACAGAUUAAUUACUUUCCAUUUGAUAAAAUAGAUGAUUCUACCAAAUGUCAAAACAUCAGAUGAAGAGAUGGGUCUGAUAGUUAUGAAGAUAUUCUGAAUAGAUAUAAAUUGUUAAUAUUGGAUUUACAGAAAAGGAUUAAGUUUUUGUCAGUGUAAGUAAACUAAUCAGGUUAAUAUCUAGGUUGAGUGCAAGCUAAAGUCCCUGCUGUAGUUGCAGUUGAGAAUGUUGGUUCCACUAUGGCUGUUAAACACCUGUCUUUUCCAGCUUGUGAAGGUGGAUGUAAUGAUGGAGAGAAUUUAAGAUUGCUAUCUAAUAUGGUUUAGAUUUAUUGAAGGUGAAAAGCUAACUUCUCCUAGUAUUUAUCUUACCAGAAUUAUCUCUUUUGAAAUUUGGACAUUUGAAUUUUUUUUCAGCACUAUGUCAUGUUGCAGUUUGUGGAUCAAGCAAAGGGUAGUCAAAAAGUAAUUGAGUAAACUAAACCAAUAAAUAAUCCAGGUUAAAUUCUGAGGGAUGCAAAGAGAAAUCAGGUCAAGUUUAAAGGCCAAGGACUUAGUGAGUCAAGGCACAGUAUGCAAGAUGCUUGGUCAUAAAGUACAAAAUGUAUAGAUUUUGUUUCCAGUAACACAUUUGUUCUUGAAUAGAGGCUUUUAUAUAGGAAGAGGAUAAUCUAAAGUCAUUAAUUUAUUAACUGCUAAUGGAGUUUAAGUCUCCAAGGGUAAAGUCGCUAACUCUCAAGGAAGUUCUAAGAAACUUCUGCUUAGACUUUGGAAUUCUUGCUAUGUUCUCCAUCUCCAAUCUUUAUCAUCAAUUUGCCUUGAUUUUUCAGGCAAAAAGGUUCAACCGCCUUUCCUUCCUUCCUUCCCAUUGAGGACUCAGUUCAAAGGUUCGGGCCUGUUUUUUUACAGAGAUGGCUAUCACAAUCCAGAGCUCCAUCUUUUGUAUUACUAUGAUCUGCAUCCUCAUAUUUGAAAGUGCCAGGAGAAGAACAUGCAUCUGAACGUAUUCUCUUCUAAUAUGGAUACCCAGGACUUUCUACUACAGGUAGUCUUCGACUUACGACUAUUCUCUUAUCAUGUGAAGUUAUGACAGACUACGUUGUGGGUACUUAUAACCCAGUUCUGAAAUUCCAGUGCCCUUCUAUCAUGUGACCAUAUUCCAGGUGCUCAAUAGCAGGCCUGCAUUUCAAGCCAUUUGCAGUGUCCCAUGGCCAUGUUUUACAACAGUUUUGCCAAAAAACAGCUUUUACUUCCAAUUUUUGACAAAAUCAGCCAAUGGCAAACCAUUGCUUUGCUUAACAGCUAUCACAAAAAAGUCAUAAAAUUGGGUCAGUCACAUUGGUGACCUGAUUUACAGCCAUCACAACUUACGACUGUAAUGGGCAGACUCUAUUACAGUCGUAAGUCAAGGGCUACCUAUAUGUGACUUGCGAUCGAGAGAGUGUUAUUAUCAAUAGAAAUAAGUUUCUCUUCUCUCUCUUUUUACUAAGAAAAAUCUGCCAGUUCAGACAGGUUUCAUGUAUUUAUAUUAUUUAGGGAAAUUCCAGUACUCACUACUCAAUGCAUACAGACUGUAAGAGGUCCAUAUUUUUUUCAAAUGAGGCAUUUUGCUUCUCAGAUGGCAAAAAUUCAGUACUGUCUUAUACAGGUGCAUGAAUGUAAACCAUUAUUUAAAAGGUUUGAUUAUUCAGAAAAUAAUAUAUAUUUAUAAUCCUGUGAUAUAUUCUAAUUGCAUUGACAUAUUUUUAUUAAUAAAAAAUAACAAGGGCAGAUAUGUUAGAAACAUCUAAAGUGCUGUAAGGCCAAUGUUUUGAUUUUUCACAAAGUAGAAAAGCAGUAUUUACUCUGAUGUCUUGAGUACAGUCUCCAUUGUAUGAAGAGACAGAUACUGACAUUUUGUACUGUACGUUCUGUUUAAAGAACUUAAUAUGGUUUUAGGAUUGUAAAGGCAAGAAAUAGAUUGAACAAUUAUAUGUAGCAUAAAUUUGUUUUUUAAUCAUAUAGGAUAAUAACAGCUUGAUUUUCCACUCAUAUGACCUUGCCAGGAUACUUGGUAUGAUGUGGAAAAUGCAAAGCUGAUAACUAGCAAUAUCAUCGUAAUGUAGUUCUUUAUUCAUUCAAUGUAUUAGCAUUGUAUAACAGAAUGAUCUCAAGUGAUUUACUGUAUAUAACCCACAUAAAACAAAAAUAAAAUUCAGUAAACUUCAAAUAUGUGUAAACAUUAAAAGCAGAAAACAAGCAGAAAAAGGAGACUAAAAUAAUAUGUAGCACUAAUCAUUAAAUAUACAAAUAUCUUUCUGAAAGAAGUUCAAAACAUGGACUCAACAGCAAGAUCACAUAACUGUUUUAAUGGCUUAUAAGAAGAGUUACUAAAAUCUGUUGCCAAAAAUAUAUAUAUAAAAGUGAUAUCUUUGGAAGUAGAAUGUGUGGUAGGCUGUAAUUGAGAAGGUUCACUCAUGUAUAGGUGCUUCCUUCAUCUUGGUAUCUGAGAGCAGCCAGAGCAGAGCCUUGAAUGGUUAUCUUAGGACAUUGGUGGAACUAUAUAUUUUAUUUUGAAAAUAACUGAUAUUAAUGAAUUACUUAUACAUUACAUAUCAUUCCCUGUGAUAAAUCCAUUUCAUCUUAUCCAGCAGUGAAUCAUGUAAGCCCUAGACCUCAGGAUACUGUUUGAUUUGUCGAGAAUAAGUACCGGUAUUUGUCUAAUAUGAAUAUUUUCAUGUUGAAUAAGUCUUGUUAAGUUUGAGAGCCAUAGACAAUCAAAACAAUAAAAUGUCUCUUUUUGUCCCUGGCAGAACAGAGUUUGGCAGGCUGUCCAGUAGGAGACAAAAUAGAUUCCCAUUGAAGCAGAUUCCUUUGAAUAAUACCUCUUCUUAUUAUCUGAAAUUAAUUAAUAAUUCUCACUACUUAAUAUGUGUUGUAGCUUUUUCAGAAAUUAAUGGGAAAGUUUCAGAACAGAAUAUUCUGACCUUUGUUUAAUAAAUUUUGGAUUCAGAUUUAUGUCCAGAAUGUAGGUGUAUCACACAUUUUAAAAUGUUUGAUGUUAGUGUAACGUAUACAUUUUGCAAACAGCAUUUGGAAUCAUUCUCGGAAUAGGCUAUGUAACAAAAGAGGGAUUUUUUUUCCCCUACAGAUUAUGGUAUUUUUGUCAGUGGCACUGCAUCAGGAGCCACAUGCUAGUGAUAAGAAAAAGAGUCUUGCCUCUCUUUUUGACAUAUUUCCUUCCUUCAACCAUUUACUUCACCAAUAUUUUUUCAGACAGUUGCCAAUAAAUUAUCAGGUUAUUCUUCCUGGAGGAAAGAGAUUUUGAAAUCUAUCCAAGGUUCACCAAUUAUCCAUCCAAAUUCUAAUGACAGAAUUAAAAAUUUAAAAUCCCUCUAUGUAACUUUAUUAAAAAAAAAUUAAAAAAGGUAAAACCUAACAAGAACUAAUAUUUAGAAUGGAAAAAAAGAAGAAAAAGGAAAGAAAUAAGAAAAGAACAAAGACAAAAAUUCAGAGCUGAAAAACAAGGAAAAAAAGAAUAUAAAAAAGCUACUUCCAAUUUUCUUUUAUAGCAAUUAUAAGUAUAGAUGUAAAUUGACCUCUUGAGCUAUGGUUACAGCAUUGUUUUACAUAUUUCUAUUAUCUUUUUUUAAAAAAAUCAUUAAAACCAUAUACCAUAAUUUCAUUUUUUUGUUUCCUGCAAAAAGUCAGUAAAGAGUUUCUAAUCAACAUUAAAUUUAGACAGUGUCCUUUCUCUACUUAAAGCUGUCUAUCUCAGCAAGUUCAGUUAACUUCACCAUUCAUUGCUCUGUUAAAAUCAAAUCUUUCUACCUUUCUACAUAAUAGUCAGUCUGCAGUUACAAAAAGAAAGUUCAGUGGAUUUUUUCCAAUUGCUUAUCCAUCGGCCCCAAAAGAAAAGUCUCUAGUUUUAAUUGUAUAUUAUUAUUUAAAAUAUUCUGUAAUAUAUGUAAUUCACUCCACAAUUUUCCACCUUUUUAACACUGUCCACCAAACAUGAUAAAAUGACCUUUCUUUUUUAUUAAAUUUCUAGCAUAAAUUUGAAGAACCUUUAUACAUGCUAGGCUAUUUUUCUGGUGACAUGCACCAAUCAUAACAUUUUAUAAAAAUUUUAUUUAAGACAAUAAUAUAAUAUAAAUUUCAAUCAUUUGAACCACAUAUUUCCCCCGAUGCAUUUGUAUAUUGUAAUCAAAGAUUUUUGUUCAUUUUAUCAUGCAUUAUUUCAAUAAAAGCUUAUACAUUUUA